rnacentral:pre_miRNA from 8 species
AGCUGCAUGAGAACUUUCUGAUGUUGGUGAUACUGCAUCAGGAACUGAUUGGAUGAUAUUCAGGAGCCAUCAGUUCCUGAUGCACUCCCAUCAGCAUCGAAAGAGACACCUGUGAGUUU